rfam:Oryza sativa (indica cultivar-group) chromosome 5, whole genome shotgun sequence.
AAUAAAUACUCCCUCCGUUCACUUUCAACGUUUGACCGUUUGUCUUAUUUGAAAAUUUUUUAUGAUUAGUAUUUUUAUUGCUAUUAGAUGAUAAAACAUGAAUAGUACUUUAUGUGUGACUAAAUAUUUUUAAUUUUUUCACAAAUUUUUUAAAUAAGAUGGACGGUCAAACGUUGGGCACGGAUAUCCACGGCUGCACUUAUU